CUGGAUUAAAUACAACACACAUUUAACAAAGAUAGAUCGUGUCCAGUUUAACUACUACAUUCUUAGAAUAAUUGAUUUAUUUCGCAGUAGUAAAAUAUUCUUGAUCUAAUCUUUGUAGACAUAGAUAAAGACCUUGGUACACUGCCACAUUACUAGGAAAGCUGUGGAAUGUAAAGAUUUUUUUUUUUUAAAAAAGCAAUUUGCUCAAAGGGGAAGAUGCAGUUGAUAAUGAUGAAAGGUGACCACGAGUUUCUUUGUUCAGGAAGAGGUUCCUCAACAGCCUUAUUUAAUAUUUUCACCAAUGAUUUUUAGUAAAAUAAGGCUUUGAAAUUAUUAAAAUUGCUGGCAGACAAUAAGGAAGCAGUAAUACUUUGGAUGAUUGGAAUGAUGUUGAGAACCUAAUUUAUUAAGUGGGAUUGCAUUUUUAUCCAGAAAUGUAGGUCACACACUUUGGCAUCUAAAGAAGUGCUUCUGAUACCAUAUGGAGCCUCUUCAUUUAAGAAAGAGAAGAAAAAUUGAAGAAUGUAGUUAUGUGUGUAAAUCUUCCAGGGGAUGACUGUAGGUAAUGGUAUGACAUGGCUGGGAAAACAGUGAAGACAUCCUCAGAGUGUAUCAGGCAUGAAAGAGAACUGGAAAAUAACCAGUCUGCAGAAAGGAGAAAUAGAAGUCACAAAGAGGUACCUCUUUACCAGAAAGGUAAUCAAUACUUGGAAACACUUCAGAAGGUGUGUGAAGAAUUGACACAUGGGUAUAAGUCUUAAAUAAACUAAAUAUAUAAUGUUUGUCUUUAAGAUUUUUAAAAGAAAUAAAUAGUGGUACUGAAGACA
ensembl:lncRNA